rnacentral:rRNA from 1 species
GCGAUUUGUCGGGUUAAUUCCCUUAACUAACGAGACCACAGCCGACUAAAUAGUACGUAUUAUGGUAACAUAGUAUGAGACUUCUUAGAGGGACAUUUCGGGUGUACCGAAAGGAAGUUUGUGGCAAUAACAGGUCUGUGAUGCCCUUAGAUGUUCUGGGCCGCACGCGCGCUACACUGACGACUUCAACAAGUUUUUUGGCAUUGCCAAAUUUCCUUGGCCGGAAGGUCUGGGUAAUCUUUUAAAAGGUCGUCGUGAUGGGGCUAGAUUCUUGCAAUUAUUAAUCUCCAACGAGGAACC